rnacentral:lncRNA from 1 species
GUGUCCAAAUGGCCAUACACUAUGCACAAACUGCAUAAUUAGAGCACAAAUUGUUGUCCUACUUGCCAAGUUGAACUUGGAAAUAUAAGGUGCUUAGCCUUAGAGGAAGUAGCAAAGUCACUGGAAUUGUCCUGCAGACAUCAAAAUCUCGGAUGUCACAAAAUAUUAGCUUACAAUAGAAAGCUAAAACACGAAAGACAUUUGCAAAUUUAGUCCUUAUCAUUGUCCUUAAGCUGGAUCAGAAUGCUCGAUAAAAGGGGAAAUUCCAACACUCAUAUUGAAUCUCAAGGAGGAUCACAAAGUUGAUAUGCACAUUAAAUCAUUGAUAUGUUAAAUCAAAUGCAGAGGAAGUUGAGAAUGCAAUAUGGAUGCUCACAGUAAGUGUUAGUUUUGGUCUUUAAGUUUUGUUUAGUGAUGUACACUAUAGUUUUGAUAACAUUCAAUAUUUAUCAACUCAUACCCAAAUUGUGCGUUCAACUGCAUGCAUAGAAGAAAAUAAUUAGCAGAUGAUAUGAUACAUGAAUAUAUGCUAUGCCAAAGAAUUAAAGACUGAUAACAAUUUAUCUUCAAGUUUUGACUUUAUUUUUCUUGAUUUUUUGAAAAAAAGAAAAAAAAAAAAUCAUUAUUCAUAAAAUGUAUCCCUAUUUCCUCUAUUUUUCUUGGAUUGAGUGUGGGGAUUAGCACCAAAUUGAAGAUAACAACAGUAUUCGAAUGCAGUCGCAAAAGAUGACAAUAUAAGCAACAUUUGAAAAUCUCAAAAUCAACAACAAACAUGAACAUAAUGCAACAAAGAAGAUUUCCAAAAGCAGAAGAACAACCUUCUAGAGAUAUGACACUUUCACUGGAAUUAGAAGGUAAUGCACAGUUCCUUACUACCUCACCGCCCACC